AUUGGCUCUUUCGUCCUUCUAUCUUCUUCACGAUGCGUCGUUCCUAGGGUUCGUCGUAUUUCCUCGAAGCUUUGAUAAGUUCCAGCAACAAUGAAUGCGAGUGAGACGAAUCGUUGCGAAGAAGCUCUCUGUCAAGCUUCGAUUUGUCGUUUCGUCUUUGGUUCUUAUCGGUGACGUUACGAGAUUUCUUGAUUCAUCCCCUUUAAGAAACUUCUUAACUCCAUCAAGCACGAUGUCUCAUUCAAUGCUCUCUUAGAGGUGGUGGAUCUCCACCUAUAAAAAUAAAUUUUGAUCGAGUUCAGACAUUGAAACAAAGUUGAUCUCAGCUGAUAAUGGCAAGGAGACUCCAACUUCUUUGAUUCUUACAACUUCCAAUUCAAAGGUUUUUUAUUACACAAUCUUUUUCUCUUGCCUCUGACUAUAAAAAAGUGAUCUUCUUUAUGGAUUCGUGAUAGUUUAGUCCAAGAUAUUCUCUUGAGAUGUUGAUUUUGUGUUUGUGAUCAUGUUUCGAGAGAGAUUGUUGGACCCAAGAGAAGCAAGCAUGAUUAAGCUGGAAGCAAUAAAAACUUAACGGAGACGUGUAUGUGGGAUAUCACAAUGUUGAAGGUGAUUAUUAGAUGCAUCAACGUGGUUAGCUCCAACACGAUCGUAGCCAGUUGAUUGGUAGCCUUGAGGUGUCAAUCGAUACAAAGCUUCAAACAUCCACUAUGAAGAUUGACAGUGUUUAUUUUGGCCACCAUCUCUCUCUAACAAUCAUGAUUUUGAACUGGCAGGAGAAGUUAAUCCGAGUUCACAUUGAUCGAGUAAAGGGCAUCUGAAGUACUUCUACAAUCCUAUGUAUACACAUUAAAAGUUGGUUAGUAUCAGUUUGAGUGGUACUUUAUCAGUGGCUCUUCUCUGGGACCCAUGCAACAGACCGACCGCUGCAGAGGCUCUGUACGUCCCGUUCUUUCAGAUUCAACCGCAAGUGUGGCCAGAGAUAGUCCCCCUGAAACGAGGAUACCAAUGGGAUAAAGUGUUGUAGUCGGAUUUUUUGAAUACCUUAAGUUGAGUAGCGGUAUGAACUAGAGCAGAGUGAUCUGUGGCCACUACAUCUUGAAGAAUAAAAAUGGAAGGAGUGAGGCCAAAAAGAAAAUGAAAAGACAUGCGAGUGAGUGAGGGAGAGAGGGAGAGAGAGAGAGGGAGAGAGGUGAGUGCAGGUAAAAAGUAAAAUCAUGUUGUGAACAUUAAUCUAAAAAGUAAAAUCAUGCUGUGAACAUUAAUCUGCAUCGAAGUUAAUUUAACUGCUUCCACCGUAAUAUUUUAUUUUUCU